UAUACGCUGAUGUUAAACCAAACCAACAAGAAAAGAUUCAUAUGGUAUUUUAAGGACACUUGUGUAGCUCAAAUCACUGGAGAUCUCAGCGUAAGAUCUGUACAGAUGUUCAGUGUAAUGAGAGAUUCAGAGACAGACUGAAGCUGGAUCAUCAGACUGGAUCUCUGACCAUCAUGAAGACCAGAAACACAGACUCUGGAGAAUUAUAAACUGAAGAUCUUCAACAAAAGCAAGAAGAGUGAAAAGACCUUUAGUGUUUCUGUCCAUGGUGUUCCUGCACUAGAAGUGAAAACAAAGUCAGUGAAGGAGGGAGAAUCUAUCUCUUUAGAUCCUGAUGUGAUAAAACACCCAAAUGAUUUGAUCAAAUGGCAUUUUAAUGACAUUUACUUUACUAAAAUAACUGGCGGUCCUAGUAAUAUCUGUACAGAGGAACUGUUUGAACAUCAGAAUUCAGAGAACUCGGAAUUCAGAGGUAGACUGAAGCUGGAUCAUCAGACUGGAUCUCUGAACAUCGCAAACACCAGGAAAACAGACUCUGGAGAUUAUCAACUGAGAGAUCAGCAGCAGCAGCAGCAGCAGCUUCUGUAUCGGCAGCAUUAGGAGCUUCAGUCUUACUGUCAUUGGUGUUUCCUGUGUUGAGACAGUUGUGUCAGUGAUGGAGGGAGAUUCAGUGUCAGUGGAAUGAGGGAGAUUCAGUCACUCUACACACUGGUGUUCAAACAA